rnacentral:lncRNA from 1 species
ACCAGCCCCUCUCCUCUCUUAGUUCAGCCGCAAGCAGGAAAGGAUCUCCAAGUGUUGGCGGCCUCCUCCCCUUCCCUUCCUUCAUCCAACGCAAGGAACAAAAGAAGGCUGCGUGGGGUUCUUUCUUCUUCCUCAUCUUCAUCCUUCUUCUUCCUCCUCUCAAGCACAAUCAAGGGUUGAUUGAAAGAGAGGAGAUCAGCCAUCAAAAGUAGUCUUUGCAAG